rnacentral:ncRNA from 2 species
GGAAUAACUAAAUAAUCGCAUCGUAUAAUUUGGGGAAUAUGGCCCUUAAGUCUCUACCGGACACCUUAAAUGAUCCGACUACGAUUUUUGAAUUAAAAACG